GACCAUAUACUUUGUGCAGUAUCAGAAUACUGCACACUAUCAGCAAUCUGAGGAGACAGGGAAGUGGUCAACCAAGAGAUGACCAUGUUAUUACAUCUAUCCCACAGUCUCUGUUGAGCCACAUUAGUGGUAGGUCGAGGACAUGAGCCGANNNNNNNNNNNNUGAGGAGACAGGGAAGAGGUCAACCAGGAAAUGACCAUGUUAUUACAUCUAUCCCACAGUCUCUGUUGAGCCACAUUAGUGGUAGGUCAAGGACAUGAGCCGUCAACAAAUCCGAUUUUGUUUUUAGCAGAUAAAGCAACUAUCAUUUUUCGCCUCCAACCCCCAUAGCCACUACCCGAGAAGGGAGUGUGGACAAGAGAGACCCCAGGGACAUCAGAGGAAUACACAAAAAGGGGGCUGGUUGAGUCUACCGAGGAGGAGGUACCAGCGUUGG
rnacentral:lncRNA from 1 species